rnacentral:rRNA from 1 species
ACGAACGCUGGCGGCGUGCUUAACAAAUGCAAGUCGAACGGAAAGGCCCCUUUGGGGGUACUCGAGUGGCGAACGGGUGAGUAACACGUGAGUAACCUGCCCUUGACUUCGGGAUAACUUCAGGAAACUGGGGCUAAUACCGGAUAGGAAUCCUUGCUGCAUGGUGGGGGGUGGAAAGCUUCGGCGGUUUUGGAUGGACUCGCGGCUUAUCAGCUUGUUGGUUGGGUAGUGGCUUACCAAGGCUUUGACGGGUAGCCGGCCUGGGAGGGCGACCGGCCCCAUUGGGACUGGGAUACGGCCCAGACUCCUACGGGAGGCAGCCGUGGGGAAUUUUGCCCCAUGGGCGGAAGUCUGAUGCAGCAACGCCGCGUGCGGGAUGACGGCCUUCGGGUUGUAAACCGCUUUCAGCAGGGGCGAAGCUUGUGGUGACGGUACCUGCAGAAGAAGCACCGGCUAACUACGUG